UGUAGGAGCCGGCUUGCUGGCGAUGACGGUAUGUCUGUGCCGGAUAUGCAAACUGGCCCGCCGCUAUCGCCAGCAAGCCGGCUCCUACA
rnacentral:misc_RNA from 1 species